GAUGAACGCUGGCGGCGUGCCUAAUACAUGCAAGUCGAGCGAACAGACGAGGAGCUUGCUCCUCUGACGUUAGCGGCGGACGGGUGAGUAACACGUGGAUAACCUACCUAUAAGACUGGGAUAACUUCGGGAAACCGGAGCUAAUACCGGAUAAUAUAUUGAACCGCAUGGUUCAAUAGUGAAAGACGGUUUUGCUGUCACUUAUAGAUGGAUCCGCGCCGCAUUAGCUAGUUGGUAAGGCAACGGCUUACCAAGGCAACGAUGCGUAGCCGACCUGAGAGGGUGAUCGGCCACACUGGAACUGAGACACGGUCCAGACUCCUACGGGAGGCAGCAGUAGGGAAUCUUCCGCAAUGGGCGAAAGCUUGACGGAGCAACGCCGCGUGAGUGAUGAAGGUCUUCGGAUCGUAAAACUCUGUUAUUAGGGAAGAACAAAUGUGUAAGUAACUAUGCACGUCUUGACGGUACCUAAUCAGAAAGCCACGGCUAACUACGUG
rnacentral:rRNA from 1 species